rnacentral:rRNA from 1 species
AGGACGAACGCUGGCGGCGUGCCUAAUACAUGCAAGUCGAACGAACUGUGGAAAGCUUGCUUUUCAGAGUUAGUGGCGAACGGGUGAGUAACACGUAAGUAACCUAGCUAUUAGACGAGGAUAACUACUGGAAACGGUAGCUAAGACUGGAUAUGAUAGAAAUAUUUAAAGGAUGCUAAGGCAUCGCUAAUAGAGGGGCUUGCGGCGCAUUAGCUAGUUGGUAGGGUAAAAGCCAACCAAGGCGAUGAUGCGUAGCCGACCUGAGAGGGUGACCGGCCACACUGGGACUGAGACACGGCCCAGACUCCUACGGGAGGCAGCAGUAGGGAAUCUUCGGCAAUGGACGAAAGUCUGACCGAGCAACGCCGCCGUGAGUGAAGAAAGUUUUCGGAUUGUAAAGCUCUGUUAUUAGGGAAGAAAGGCUCUAGGAGGAAAUGCUUAGGGAUUGACGGUACCUAAUGAGGAAGCCACGGCUAACUACGUGCCAGCCGCGGC